rnacentral:rRNA from 1 species
CCUACGGGAGGCAGCAGUGGGGAAUAUUGCACAAUGGGGGAAACCCUGAUGCAGCGACGCCGCGUGAGUGAAGAAGUAUUUCGGUAUGUAAAGCCCUAUCAGCAGGGAAGAAGAAAUGACGGUACCUGAGUAAGAAGCACCGGCUAAAUACGUGCCAGCAGCCGCGGUAAUACGUAUGGUGCAAGCGUUAUCCGGAUUUACUGGGUGUAAAGGGAGCGCAGGCGGCACGGCAAGCCUGAUGUGAAAGCCCGCGGCCCAACCGCGGGACUGCAUUGGGAACUACCGGGCUGGAGUGCCGGAGAGGUAGGCGGAAUUCCUAGUGUAGCGGUGAAAUGCGUAGAUAUUAGGAGGAACACCAGUGGCGAAGGCGGCUUACUGGACUGUAACUGACGUUGAGGCUCGAAAGCGUGGGGAGCAAACAGGAUUAGAUACCCCAGUAGUC